rnacentral:rRNA from 1 species
GACGAACGCUGGCGGCGUGCCUAAUACAUGCAAGUUGAGCGCUGAAGGUUGGUACUUGUACCGACUGGAUGAGCAGCGAACGGGUGAGUAACGCGUGGGGAAUCUGCCUUUGAGCGGGGACAACAUUUGGAAACGAAUGCUAAUACCGCAUAAAAACUUUAAACACAAGUUUUAAGUUUGAAAGAUGCAAUUGCAUCACUCAAAGAUGAUCCCGCGUUGUAUUAGCUAGUUGGUGAGGUAAAGGCUCACCAAGGCGAUGAUACAUAGCCGACCUGAGAGGGUGAUCGGCCACAUUGGGACUGAGACACGGCCCAAACUCCUACGGGAGGCAGCAGUAGGGAAUCUUCGGCAAAGGACGAAAGUCUGACCGAGCAACGCCGCGUGAGUGAAGAAGGUUUUCGGAUCGUAAAACUCUGUUGGUAGAGAAGAACGUUGGUGAGAGUGGAAAGCUCAUCAAGUGACGGUAACGACCCAGAAAGGGACGGCUAACUACGU